GUGUAGGAUGUGUCUAAACGCGUCAUUCUGAAGACAGAGGUGUAGAAGUUGGCGUGCUUCCUAAAGCAUCACA
ensembl:snoRNA SNORD63 Small nucleolar RNA SNORD63